UACGUAGGUGGCAAGCGUUGUCCGGAUUUACUGGGCGUAAAGGAUGCGUAGGCGGAUACUUAAGUCAGAUGUGAAAUUCCCGGGCUCAACUUGGGAGCUGCAUUUGAAACUGGGUAUCUAGAGUGCGGGAGAGGAGAGUGGAAUUCCUAGUGUAGCGGUGAAAUGCGUAGAGAUUAGGAAGAACACCAGUGGCGAAGGCGACUCUCUGGACCGUAACUGACGCUGAGGCAUGAAAGCGUGGGGAGCAAACAGG
rnacentral:rRNA from 1 species